rnacentral:piRNA from 1 species
UGAAUGCCCUUAAUGCUCUUUGG